GACGAACGCUGACGGUGUGCUUUAGACAUGCAAGUCGAACGAGAAAGCCCUUCGGGGUGAGUAGAGUGGCGAACGGGUGAGUAACACGUGGGUAACCUGCCCCUCGCAGAGGGAUAACCGGGGGAAACCCCGGCUAAUACCUCGUACGCUUGCCGGGUCGCAUGGCUUGGCAAGGAAAGGUAGCUUCGGCCAUCCGGCGAGGGAUGGGCCCGCGGUCCAUUAGCUAGUUGGUGAGGUAACGGCCCACCAAGGCGACGAUGGAUAGCUGGGCGGAGAGGACGGUCAGCCACACUGUGACUGGGACACGGCCCAGACUCCUACGGGAGGCAGCAGUCGGGAAUCUUGCGCAAUGGGCGAAAGCCUGACGCAGCAACACCGUGUGGGCGACGAAGGCCUGCGGGUCGUAAAGCCCAGUUGUUGGGGACGAAGGACGAAGGGUUAAUAGCCCCUAGUCUGACGGUACCCUUCGAGGAAGCCCCGGCUAACUACGUGCCAGCAGCCGCAGUAAAAC
rnacentral:rRNA from 1 species